rnacentral:lncRNA from 1 species
AAUCAUCAUCAUUUUUAGAAAGGUUACGAUCAAACAUGAGAGGGUCCAAAUAACAAUAUCAUAUGCUUCUUAAGUUCACAAAGAAAAGGAGAAGACAUGAACAUUUGCCAAAGCAAACAAAUCAAGCAUACUUUUUCAUAUUUUUGUAGAUACAUAGAAGAGCAGUAGUUGUAGAAAUUUAUAGAAGCAAGCAAGUUUCUUACCAGGAGGCAAUAGCUGCCAGCUCAACAAAGACCUUACAUGACCUAUAGCUACUACAUUUCUUGUGACUAAUAAUGUGAAAGCAAUAUUUCGUAAUCGAGAAAAGCUUCUGAAAUUACUGGAAUUCAAUAUUCAGAUACAAUUACUCAUGUCAUUUAAUGAGUUCUAAAUAAAAAAAGUAUACUAGUGAAUUUAUGUAGGAAUGAACUACAUGCAGCAUCCAAAGCAGAGCAUGGCAACCUUAGUGUGGAGGAACAUCUCUACUUUGCUAACAUCCACUCAGUUGAAAUUAAACAAGCACAGUAACAUGGAUACACAUGAAUUUGCUAUUUCUAGUUAAAGUAGAUUGCGACAUUAUUAUCUCUUGCUAAUUUGUAACAUUUUAUAGUUUUCCCCCAAUUUUUACUGGAGCGCUAAUUUGUACAGUGAACAUUGUGCAAUUCAGCAACCUGCUCUCCAUUUUACAUGGUUCACUUAGUAGUAA